CAGUGGUAAAAAGGCAGGAUGGAUACAUGUUCUCAUUCUGUUUACAUCAAAUUCGGACUCUACCAUUUGAAUGUCUCAACAGAAAUCGAGACUCAUUAGACCAGGCAACGUUUUUCCAGUCUUCGACAGUCCAAUUUUGGUGAGCUUGUGCAAAAUGUAGCCUCUUUUUCCUAUUUGAAGUGGAGAUGAGUGGUACCCGGUGGGGUCUUCU